GGAGGGGUAUAGCUCAGUGGUAGAGCAUGUGCUUAGAAUGCAUGAGGUCCUGGGUUCAAUCCCCAGGACUUCCA